GACGAACGCUGGCGGCGUGCUUAACACAUGCAAGUCGAACGGUAAGGCCCUUCGGGGUACACUAGUGGCGAACGGGUGGGGAACACGUGGGUGAGCUGCUCUGCACUUCGGGAUCAGCCUGGGAAACUGGGUCUCAUACCGGAGAGGACCCUGGCAUACAGGUUCUGGGGGGGAAAGCUUGUGCGGGGUGGGAUGGGCCCGCGGCCGAUCAGCUUGUUGGUGGGGUGAUGGCCUACCAAGGCGACGACGGGUAGCCGGCCUCGGGAGAGGGUGACCGGCCACACUGGGACUGAGAUACGGCCCAGACUCCUACGGGAGGCAGCAGUGGGGAAUAUUGCACAAUGGGCGCAAGCCUGAUGCAGCGACGCCGCGUGAGGGAUGACGGCCUUCGGGUUGUACACCUCUUUCAGCACCGACGAAGCGCAAGUGACGGUAGGUGCAGAAGAAGGACCGGCCAACUACGUGCCAGUAGCCGCAGUAA
rnacentral:rRNA from 1 species